rnacentral:rRNA from 1 species
UGGGCGAAGCCUGAUCCAGCCAUGCCGCGUGCAGGAUGAAGGCCUUCGGGUUGUAAACUGCUUUUGUACGGAACGAAAAGACUCUGGUUAAUACCUGGGGUCCAUGACGGUACCGUAAGAAUAAGCACCGGCUAACUACGUGCCAGCAGCCGCGGUAAUACGUAGGGUGCAAGCGUUAAUCGGAAUUACUGGGCGUAAAGCGUGCGCAGGCGGUUAUAUAAGACAGAUGUGAAAUCCCCGGGCUCAACCUGGGAACUGCAUUUGUGACUGUAUAGCUAGAGUACGGCAGAGGGGGAUGGAACUCCGCGUGUAGCAGUGAAAUGCGUAGAUAUGCGGAGGAACACCGAUGGCGAAGGCAAUCCCCUGGGCCUGUACUGACGCUCAUGCACGAAAGCGUGGGGAGCAAACAGGAUUAGAUACCCUGGUAGUCCACGCCCUAAACGAUGUCAACUGGUUGUUGGGUCUUCACUGACUCAGUAACGAAGCUAACGCGUGAAGUUGACCGCCUGGGGAGUACGGCCGCAAGGUUGAAACUCAAAUGAAUUGACGGGGAAUCGNAAUUCCCGCGGCCGCCAUGGCGGCCGGGAGCAUGCGACGUCGGGCCCAAUUCGCCCUAWGUGGNARKNCGUAU